UUGGACAUGGGCGAAAGCCUGAUCCAGCCAUGCCGCGUGUGUGAAGAAGGUCUUCGGAUUGUAAAGCACUUUAAGUUGGGAGGAAGGGCAGUAAGUUAAUACCUUGCUGUUUUGACGUUACCAACAGAAUAAGCACCGGCUAACUUCGUGCCAGCAGCCGCGGUAAUACGAAGGGUGCAAGCGUUAAUCGGAAUUACUGGGCGUAAAGCGCGCGUAGGUGGUUCAGCAAGUUGGAGGUGAAAUCCCCGGGCUCAACCUGGGAACUGCCUCCAAAACUACUGAGCUAGAGUACGGUAGAGGGUAGUGGAAUUUCCUGUGUAGUGGUGAAAUGCGUAGAUAUAGGAAGGAACACC
rnacentral:rRNA from 1 species